AUGGCGUCUCCAGCCGACUUACAUGGAGUAACGGCUGCCGGGAGCCCAAACAAACAGACUCUGAAGACUUCCACCUCCAGCUCCAGCUCUGGAUCCAGCUCCAGCUCCGGAUCCGGCUCCAACUCUAGCUCCAGCUCCGGCUCUGGCUCCAACAGAGACAUUACGACAAGCUGCAAAAUACAAAAGACAAGAAGUCUAUCGAUGCGAGAAUUACAAGAAAUUACAGACAAUUUCUGCAAGGAGCGAGCAAUUGGUGAAGGAGCGUAUGGAAAGGUUUACAAGGGUGCACUUGGCAAUGGCAAAGAGAUUGCAGUGAAGUUGCUUCAUAACAGGCCAGACAUUGACGAUGGGCAAUUCCGACGUGAGUUUGAUAACCUAAUGAGGCUCGAACAUCAAAACAUUGUACAGUUAGUUGGCUAUUGCUAUGAAACACAACAUAAACCUAUCAUAGGCACGGAAGAAACCAUUUUUGCUGAAGAGAUAACCAAAGCGCUAUGCUUCGAGUAUAUGCAAAAAGGGAGCCUGCAGAAGCAUCUCUAUGAGGAAUCUGAUGGCCUCGAUUGGGAGACACGAUACAAAAUUAUCAAGGGGACAUGUGAAGGCUUACAAUACCUUCAUGAAGGAUUCAAAAAACCAAUUUACCAUUUGGACCUAAAACCGGACAACAUACUUCUAGAUGAGAACAUGUUCCCAAAACUUGCGGAUUUUGGUUUGUCUAGGCUCUUCCGUGAACAUAAAACGAUGGUCAUAGAAAGUGUUUCAGGAACAAUUGGGUACAUGCCGCCAGAAUACAUACAUGAAAAUGCAAUCUCGAACAAGUUUGACAUAUUCAGCUUGGGUGUUGCAAUAACAAAGGUAAUUGCAGGGCCAAGCGGCCACACCAGAAGCGCUGAAAUGUCUCACCAAGAGUUUCUUGACCAAGUACAAACAAACUGGAGACGCAGGUUGCGUUCAACGUGUUCUUCUCACAAGCAAUUAAAAGCACACUGCCAUCAAGUGAAUAUAUGUACUGAGAUAGCACUGAGCUGCAUGGAGUACGAUAGGCACAAAAGGCCUGAUAUAAUAGAUAUUAUCCAUCGACUAAAUGACACAGAAGCUACCAUUGACAGGGCCUUGUCAUGGUCGGUGAGUUCGCAAUCAUGGAUGCAAGGAGACAUGGUGAAGCUACACACGUUCACGAGUAAAGCGAUUUUGUGUGGCAAGACGUGCAACAAAUUUCCAGUCCUAGUGCGUAUCACAGCAGCGCCAUGGCGCCACACGGAGGAGAUGCCACGUGCUGGCGUGGACAUUGUUGUGGUUGUUGACAUCAACAUGGGCAGGGUGAGUCACUGGAAGCUGAAAACCAUCAAGCAAGCCCUAAUGACAGUCAUUGACAAGUUCGGCCCAAACGACCGGUUCUCUAUUGUGUGGUUCAAGGGAAGUGUGCCCCACACUAUGAAGUUAACCUUCACGUCCAACAAAGGCAAGGAAAUUGCCAAGGUCAUGAUCAAUGAGCUUGAUGGGACCCAUGACAACAAUACAAUUGCCGCUCUGCGAGAGGGAUUUGAGAUCCUGAGAGGGCGUGGAGCGGAAGAGGCAUACAACCAUGUAGGUUGCAUCCUGUUCGUCUCCAAUGGUGAUGGCAUGGCAGCCCUCAAGACGGAGAUCUCUUCUGAAUUCCCCGUGCACGCAAUUGGUGUGCAGAAACACCACGAUCCGGAGGUCAUGAAGUAUAUCGCCGACAAGACCUGUGGCACCUACUCCUUCCUUGAUGAAGAUGACAGCUGCAUCCAUGAAGCCUUCAAGUUAUUCACCACUGGCAUCACGUCUGUCGCUGCAAGGUUCAUACAGAUCACCCUCGCAGCUCACGAGGGCAUUACAAUAUCUUCCAUCGAGUCUGGUGGCUACAAGAACCUUGUGGGAUCAGACAAACAAACCGGAGUGAUAGACAUCGAUAACAUGUACGCGGGAGAGCAGAAGAACUUCAUAGUCUACCUAAGUGUCGGGGAGGGAAACAAGAAGCUUCUGACCAUCGGCGGCCAGUACAGAAGCUUCGAUGCGAGCAAGCGGCUGGCUGACAAGGAUGUCUUCAUUCUGCGACCACUCUCUGAAUGCUCGCCCGACAAGCUAGGCAUCCAUCAUGAGGUGGCCGCGGAGCGCAUGCGCAUCUGGCUCAUGAAGGGAUUCUCGGUCAUGGUGGAGAUGCAGCAUCCCAUGUGUGGUGAGGGGCCACGGGAACUAUGGAACAGUAUCAGGCACCCUAGCAGCGAGGGCCACUGUGCAACCAAGGAAACCAUGGUGAACCUCAGCAAUGAUGUGACUGAGAUUGAAAGGAACAUUAGAGACUAUCUAAACAACCAUGAAAGAUGGUACACGAAGGUCCCUUACCUAAUGUCAUGGCUGAGUUGCCACAAGUGGCAGCGUGCUACCACCAAGGGCUCAUGCUACGACUCCGGUGCUUUCACCCUAUCACAACUCAGUGCCUCAGAGCAGCAUGUAGGUGAAGAUGGUGAGGAUAAUGACGACUAA
rnacentral:rRNA from 1 species